rnacentral:lncRNA from 1 species
AUUUGGUGUUCUGUAAGCUCCAAAAUCCUCAGCUAUUUGUUUUUUUGUUCGUUUUAUAAAAUCAUCCAGAGUUUUUAGUUGUAAUUGAUGGGAAAGAUAGACUCUAGUGGGGUUACUCCAUUUUGGCCGGCACUGUACCAUAGGUGAGUCUAUCAAACAUAAUUGUCACGAUUGUUGGAUAGGAGGAUGCAAAGACUGAUCAAGAGGUGAGUAGCUAUUACCAUAGGAAGCCACCUGUUAUUUGACUUCUGUCUCUUCAUUUAUUAGAGAUAAUACCACCUUGCUGUGACUUUUUCUAAGGUGUAUUUUAAGUUGCAGCUUAAUAUAUGUGAUAUGAACCCAUUUAUGUAUCACAACAAAAGUUGUAUGUGUAAGGUUCCACAGAGAUUACACAUAGAACUAGCUACUAGUUAAAAUUGUGGAAGAUGGGAAUGAAGGCAUACCUUUUUAAAAUACUAUACGUGUUUGUACUGUCGGAACAUUAGAAAUGUCCAAACCAGCCUACCAAAGUAAAGAAGAAUCCUCCUUAUCCUAAAACUUACAGUGUCAGCUUUCACAGAUUUCAGAUGAUUGAUGUCUGAUUUCUAGCUGCAGUAGAAACGUUUGGUGGGUGUCUGCUCAGCUCAUCACAACUUUCUCUCUUUCUUUAAGAAUCCGCCUUCCAAUACACACUUCCCAGAAGGCCAGGCCCUUGGCAGCCAUGUAGAUAGUAAAGACCCAGUCUUCCUGGCCAACUGAAGGAUUCUGUCUCCUGAAGAUUUAUAAUGGGAACUGAAGGGGCUAGCUUAUUCUGGACUGUACACUUGAUCUGAUGUUGUUCUGCUUAAGGAGCUGUAGGACAGCCACCUUCUACCACACAUGUCAUGACUCUCCACUGACUCCUCCAGAAUGUGACACUCCAUUUUCACCAAACUGCAGACACUCUCUGCGUAGGAUCACCAUGCCGAGCAUAAACUGGACUUUCCCACUUGCCUGGCAGGAGUCAGACAGAUCCCUGUGUGCUAAAUGAACAUCUGAGGAUAAUCUGAAGAGAAGAGCAGUUCUGAAGGAUGUGGAGUUGAAGGGUGGAGAAGAUUCAGCAUGGACUACUUUUGAUUUGGAAGGUCACUGGGAACCCAACUUUCUUUUAGGGCUGUCUGAUGAUCCCAAGUUCAGGACUGGACACAGGUUAUACACAAUAUACAUAUGCUAGACUGUGGAUGAAGGCUAGACUAGACCCUUGGUGCUGUUCAAACCUCCUCGUUAUAGUCUGGUCUAGUUCCAGGGAGGGGCUGGAAACUGUCCCUAUUUCUACAGGAGAAGGUUCGGUCUUCUUAUUGGAAUAGUCUUCUAUGCCAGUUAUUGUUUGUACAGGUUGUAUUGGCAGCUGGUGGGUUUCUGAGUUAAAUAUUAUGUACUACUUGUAAGACUGUUCAGAGUUUUAUGUCCCCAAUUACAGAUAUAGAACUUUAAGUACUCAAGUUUACCAGACUUGCAUAUAUAUAUAAGCACCUAAGGAUAAAGGUGAAUGGGUUCUAAUGGAUAAGUAGUUAAUUCGGAUCUAAAACUGAGAAACACUCAUUUCAGAAAACCUUUUAGGACUCAAAUUUCAGCUGUGUUAAUAAAAGAAUUUUGAACUUCAAUCAGAAAGUUAAUAGGCUUUAAUGACCUUUAUUUCUCCUUUACUAGGCUUCUUGUUUAUUGGAUUUGGAAAUUUUCUAACUUUUAAGGACUAAGCCAAGAUUUUGCCUUCCUCAGGGAGCAUUUCAUGCUACAACCUCAUAGUCCUUUUUUCCCUCCUCUAUCCAUCCUUUAUCUUUAAUCCUGGCCUUUCCGCAUCAUGCAGCAUUAUAAUUAUAUGUUUAUGUAUGUUCUAUCAGACUGUGAGCUCCAGUGGAGCAAGCCCUGUCUUGCUCCACUCUGUUUUCUGGGCACCUAGCAGAAUGUCUGCAUAAGAAAGAAAAGAAAAGAAAAAAAAAAAAAAGAUGGUAGAUUUAAUGAAUGCAGCAAGUAUUGCUGUCUUUGUUUACGUAUUAGAUUCAGUGACUUCCAUCUAUACCUCAAUUUCUAGAGAUAUGACAGGCACUUGGGAUUCUUCAUGUUUUCUUUUUUAAAACCAUUCACAAAUAGCAUCAAAAAAGUAGCCCUAGUAAAAGCAUGUAUUUGCUUAAAUCCUAUGUUCAUGUAAAACACACAUACACACACACACAUCAACACACACACACAAACUAUUUUAAAAAGUAUGGAAGAAACUAGUUCAGCAUGGUGGUCAUUUUGAUGGGAGAGAGAAGUAUUACCAAUGACUGGACCUUGGAGCCCCACUAUAUUGGUAUUGUUUUGUUUUGAUCUGAUGAUACAUAAACAUAUGCUCAUUGUGUUCUUUAUUCAUUUUUGCACAUCCUAUUUUAUGCAUAUGAAUAGAAGCUAGUGUAAUCUUGAACAGAAUCUUCCCAUCAUAGGACAUCUUGUAUUAAAUGUUUUAAAUGAGAAUUAGCAGAUUUCGGGAACUAUAGAGGCUUUUUGAUUUGUUUUACCUAUAGGAAUUGCAUUUUGGACUUAGAUUUUAAUAUUACGUUAAAAUAAAUAGUCUAAUCAACAUUUUCCCUAAAUAUUUUAUAAAUACACAAAAUUUAUCAAAGUGUACUUGUAUGUAGAUCUUUUG